rnacentral:rRNA from 1 species
CUACGGAGGGUGCAAGCGUUACUCGGAAUCACUGGGCGUAAAGCGCGCGCAGGCGGCUAUUUAAGUUGGAUGUGAAAGCCUACGGCUCAACCGUAGAACUGCAUCCAAAACUAUUAGACUAGAGUGUGGGAGAGGAAGAUGGAAUUAGUUGUGUAGGGGUAAAAUCCGUAGAGAUAACUAGGAAUACCAAAAGCGAAGGCAAUCUUCUGGAACACUACUGACGCUGAGGCGCGAAAGCGUGGGGAGCAAACAGGAUUAGAUACCCGGGUAGUCC